UACAGAGGAGCCAAGCGUUGUCCGGAUUGACUGGGCGUAAAGCGCACGUAGGCGGGUUGUUAAGUCGGGGGUGAAAUCCUGGAGCUCAACUCCAGAACUGCCUUCGAUACUGGCGACCUUGAGUCCGGGAGAGGAGAGUGGAAUUCCCAGUGUAGAGGUGAAAUUCGUAGAUAUUGGGAAGAACACCGGUGGCGAAGGCGGCUCUCUGGACCGAGACUGACGCUGAGGCGCGAAAGCGUGGGGAGCAAACAGG
rnacentral:rRNA from 1 species